GGCAGGCUUAACACAUUGCAAGUCGAGGGGUAGACAUGGUGCUUGCACAGAUGGACGACCGGCGCACGGGUGCGUGAACGCGUGAUGAGAAUCUACCUUUUACAGGGGGAUGAGCCUUUAGAAAUGAAGAUUAAUAUGCCCAUAGUAUUGAGACUUGGCAGUCAAGACUUAAUUAAAGAUUUAUCGGUAAAAGAUGACUAUGCGUCCUAUUAGCUAGAUGGUAAGGUAACGGCUUACCAUGGCUACGAUAGGUAGGGGUCCUGAGAGGGAGAUCCCCCACACUGGUACUGAGACACGGACCAGACUCCUACGGGAGGCAGCAGUGAGGAAUAUUGGGCAAUGGAGGAAACUCUGACCCAGCCAUGCCGCGUGCAGGAAGACUGCCCUAUGGGUUGUAAACUGCUUUUAUACAGGAAGAAACACUGGUAUGUAUACCAGCUUGACGGUACUGUAAGAAUAAGGACCGGCUAACUCCGUGCCAGCAGCCGCGGUAAUACGGAGGGUCCGAGCGUUAUCCGGAAUCAUUGGGUUUAAAGGGUCCGCAGGCGGUCAAUUAAGUCAGAGGUGAAAUCCCAUAGCUUAACUAUGGAACUGCCUUUGAUACUGGUUGACUUGAGUCAUAUGGAAGUAGAUAGAAUGUGUAGUGUAGCGGUGAAAUGCAUAGAUAUUACACAGAAUACCGAUUGCGAAGGCAGUCUACUACGUAUGUACUGACGCUCAUGGACGAAAGCGUGGGGAGCGAACAGGAAUUAGAUACCCUGGUAGUUCACGCCGUUAAACGAUGGAAUACUAGUUUGUGGGGCAUAAGCCUCAGUGACCUAAGCGAAGGUGAUUAAGUAUUUCCACCCUGGGGAAGU
rnacentral:rRNA from 1 species